rnacentral:rRNA from 1 species
CCUACGGGAGGCAGCAGUGAGGAAUAUUGGUCAAUGGGCGCAAGCCUGAACCAGCCAUGCCGCGUGCAGGAAGAAUGCCCUACGGGUUGUAAACUGCUUUUAUUUGGGAAUAAACCUUUCUACGUGUAGAAAGCUGAAGGUACCAAUUGAAUAAGCACCGGCUAACUCCGUGCCAGCAGCCGCGGUAAUACGGAGGGUGCAAGCGUUAUCCGGAAUCAUUGGGUUUAAAGGGUCCGCAGGCGGACCUAUAAGUCAGUGGUGAAAGCCUACAGCUUAACUGUAGAACUGCCAUUGAAACUGUAGGUCUUGAAUUCGGUCGAAGUGGGCGGAAUGUGUAGUGUAGCGGUGAAAUGCAUAGAUAUUACACAGAACACCGAUAGCGAAGGCAGCUCACUAGGCCUGGAUUGACGCUCAGGGACGAAAGCGUGGGGAUCAAACAGGAUUAGAUACCCUGGUAGUCCACGCCGUAAACUAUGAUUACUCGUUUUCGGCGAUAUACAGUCGGAGACUAAGCGAAAGUGAUAAGUAAUCACCUGGGGAGUACGAUCGCAAGGUUGAAACUCAAAUUGAAUUGACGGCGNGAGAGNGCGAGACGACACGAGGGAGGAGG